GGCAUCGGUCUUAAGCCUUACAUGCAAUACUUAAAUCAGAACAAAGGCUACUUGCUUUUCUCCGCGACUUCUAUCUGCCACCUUGCAUUCGUGAUUGGUUCAAUACUACAAAACUCUUGGAUGGCCGCUAAUGUUGAAAAUCCUAAUGUCACCACAUUGCGAUUGAUUGUAGUUUACUUGGUGAUUGGAUUUACUUCGACACUAAUUUUGUAUUUUAGAUCUCUCUCCAUAGUUGCUCUUGGUACGCAAUCGUCAAAAUCUUUGUUUUCACAGCUACCAAACUCCCUUUUUCGUGUGCCCAUGUCAUUUUACGACUCUACGCCUUUGGGAAGGAUACUGAGUCGGGUUUCAGCCGAUUUGAGUAUUGUUGAUCUUGAUGUUCCCUUUAGCUUUGUCUACAGUUUUUCGUCUACCAUAAAUACCUAUGCUAAUCUUGCUGUCUUGACUGCUGUUACCUGGCAAGUCCUGUUCAUCUCCAUACCAAUGAUUUAUUUGGCAAUUCUCUUGCAGAGAUACUACCUUAGCGCCGCGAAAGAAUUGAUGCGAAUCAAUGGCACAACAAAGUCUUUCGUGGCAAACCAUCUUGCUGAAUCCAUAGUAGGAUUGAUGACGAUAAGAGCUUUUGGGAAGGAGGAAUGAUUCUUCGUAAAGAAUCUUGACCUCAUUGAUAUAAAUGCCAGCCCAUUUUUCCACUGUUUUGCAGCAAAUGAGUGGUUGAUCGAACGGCUUGGAGUACUUAGUGCAGUUGUUCUCUCCUCAUCAGCACUCUGCAUGGUUUUGCUUCCUCCUGGAACAUUCAGCUCUGAAUCACAAAGCAGUGGGAAGACAAAGGUUGGAAUCAAUGGUUUUGGUCGGAUUGGAAGAUUGGUAUUACGGAUAGCAACAUCUAGGGAUGACAUGGAUGUUGUAGCUGUCAAUGAUCCUUUUGUUGAUGCUAA